rnacentral:rRNA from 1 species
GGCGUGCUUAACACAUGCAAGUCGAGCGGUAAGGCCCUUCGGGGUACACGAGCGGCGAACGGGUGAGUAACACGUGAGCAACCUGCCCCUGACUCCGGAGAUAGCGGUGGAAACGCCGUCUAAUACCGGAUAUGACCUGCCACCUCAUGGUGGCGGGUGGAAAGUUUUAUCGGUCAGGGAUGGGCUCGCGGCCUAUCAGCUUGUUGGUGGGGUAACGGCCUACCAAGGCGAUUACGGGUAGCCGGCCUGAGAGGGCGACCGGCCACACUGGGACUGAGACACGGCCCAGACUCCUGCGGGAGGCAGCAGUGGGGAAUAUUGCACAAUGGGCGAAAGCCUGAUGCAGCGACGCCGCGUGGGGGAUGACGCCUUCGGGUUGUAAACCUCUUCUUACCACCAACGCAGGCUCCGGGUUUUCUCGGGGUUGACGGUAGGUGGGGAAUAAGGACCGGCUAACUACGUGCCAGCAGCCGCGGUAAUACGUAGGGUCCGAGCGUUGUCCGGAAUUAUUGGGCGUAAAGAGCUCGUAGGCGGCAUGUCGCGUCUGCUGUGAAAGACCGGGGCUUAACUCCGGUUCUGCAAGUGGAUACGGGCAUGCUAGAGGUAGGUAGGGGAAACUGGAAUUCCUGGUGUAGCGUGAAAUGCGCAGAUAUCAGUGAGGAACACCGGUGGCGAAGGCGGGUUUCUGGGCCUUACCUGACGCUGAGGAGCGAAAGCAUGGGGAGCGAACAGGAUUAGAUACCCUGGUAGUCCAUGCCGUAAACGUUGGGCGCUAGGUGUGGGGACUUUCCACGGUUUCCGCAGCCGAGCUAACGCAUUAAGCGCCCCGCCUGGGGAGUACGGCCGCAAGCUAAAACUCAAAGGAAUUGACGGGCGGCCCGCACAAGCGGCGGAGCAUGUUGCUUAAUUCGACGCAACGCGAAGAACCUUACCAAGGUUUGACAUCACCCGUGGACCUGUAGAGAUACAGGGUCAUUUAGUUGGUGGGUGACAGGUGGUGCAUGGCGUCGUCAUGCUCGUGUCGUGAGAUGUUGGGUUAAGUCCCGCAACGAGCGCAACCCUUGUUCUAUGUUGCCAGCACGUAAUGGUGGGGACUCAUAGGAGACUGCCGGGGUCAACUCGGAGGAAGGUGGGGACGACGUCAAGUCAUCAUGCCCCUUAUGUCUUGGGCUGCAAACAUGCUACAAUGGCCGGUACAAUGGGCGUGCGAUACCGUAAGGUGGAGCGAAUCCCUUAAAGCCGGUCUCAGUUCGGAUUGGGGUCUGCAACUCGACCCCAUGAAGGUGGAGUCGCUAGUAAUCGCGGAUCAGCAACGCCGCGGUGAAUACGUUCCCGGGCCUUGUACACACCGCCCGUCACGUCAUGAAAGUCGGCAACACCCGAAACUUGUGGCCUAACCCUUCGGGGAGGGAAUGAGUGAAGGUGGGGCUGGCG